GUGGGACUUACACUACGGGAAGAACUCAACAACAACAUUAUCGCGUGGCGUCUAUAAAAAGAAAAAGAUGCCUUAAUGAAAAAUGAAAUGUUCAACAGUAUGCUGGGAAUAAUUUCUAUCUAUUCAAAAAAUGUUGCUCAGGAUAUUUUUGGAAUGAAACUCUAAACGAAUGCACGCGUUGUCAGGUAGGCUAUUAUGCAAAGAAUUGCAGAUUACGGUGCCCAUACCCCAGUUUCGGAGAGGAAUGUCAGAAUGAGUGCAAAUGCAGAGAGGACUUGUGUGAUUUUGCUUUUGGAUGUGUAUUACUCCAAGGUAUUGCUUCAUCCCAAGCUUCCAUAAUAUUACGGAAUACUUCAGCCGAUAAUUCAACUCUGAUACCGUUUUUGGAAGAGACUAGUAGUACCUUAUAUAAAUGGUUAUUUAUAGCAACUCUUGUGCUUUGCAUUUUCCUUGGAAUGUGUGUUUUUAUUUUAGUUCUGAAUCAUUACUGCAAGAAACCCGUUCAUCAUGGAGUAUAUCAAGACAUUUUCAUAGACAGAACUAAUGAGAUGCAGAAUGUUUACGAAUCUUGUAAUUAGGAUGGAAGUUGUA